GACAGAGGGUGCAAACGUUGUUCGGAAUUACUGGGCGUAAAGCGCGUGUAGGCGGCUAAGUAAGUCGGGCGUGAAAUCCCACGGCUCAACCGUGGAAGUGCACUCGAAACUGCAUAGCUAGAGUCCUGGAGAGGAGGGUGGAAUGCUUGGUGUAGAGGUGAAAUUCGUAGAUAUCAAGCGGAACACCGGUGGCGAAGGCGGCCUUCUGGACAGUGACUGACGCUGAGACGCGAAAGCGUGGGGAGCAAACAGG
rnacentral:rRNA from 1 species